rnacentral:rRNA from 1 species
UACAGAGGUCCCAAGCGUUGUUCGGAUUCAUUGGGCGUAAAGGGUGCGUAGGCGGCGCGGUAAGUCGGGUGUGAAAUCUCGGAGCUUAACUCCGAAACUGCAUUCGAUACUGCCGUGCUUGAGGACUGGAGAGGAGACUGGAAUUUACGGUGUAGCGGUGAAAUGCGUAGAUAUCGUAAGGAAGACCAGUGGCGAAGGCGGGUCUCGUGGACAGUUCCUGACGUGAGGCACGAAGGCCAGGG